GAAGAACCUUCCCGGGCGGAGAGGUGCUGAGGCAGGCCAGGCUCUGAUCCCCUACGCCAGCCGGGCGGUCCAAAGGGAGGUAAUUAGGAGCAACGAGCUGAAACUGCGGAAAGGAAAAAAGGUGGAAGCUGAGGCUUGAGAGAUCAAGAACUUCCUCAAGAUCAUGCUGCUAGAAUGUGGCAGAACCAUCACUGAAAUUCAGGCCUGUUUAGGGAAAAUGAACUGCUGAGAGGUCUCGCUGGUUCCUGUGUCUCCCUAGUGAGAGGACAGUCACAUCAGAUGCAGAAGAGCAAGCUCCCGCUGCCUCCCCAUUUACCCAUGUGCCAAGAUGUAUCUGUGUGGCUGAAUGUUCCAAGAUUCUGCUGCUUCUGGCUGAACCGACUUCGUCAAAUGAGACCAUUGAACUGUGAAAAGACAAUGUUAACUUAGUAGCAUGGUUCCCUGAGAGUUUUCCUCUCCAUUCCAAUCCUGCCCACCUCUUCCAACUAUCCCGAAAUAAUAUGGCUUUGAGCCUUCUUGUGGUCUAGCCACUCUUCUCUGAGCCUGCUAUGACUUUUCUCUGCUCACUGAUCUGGGUUUCUGAGAGCAGCAUCUAUGCCUGGAGAGUCCUUCCCAUUUGCCAGAUGUGGAAAUGAAGUUUUGUAGCUGAGAAAUGGUGUAAGGACUUCAGCACUAAGAAAAUAGAAGCCACAAGGUGAGACCCAAGAUUCCACAUGUGCCCAGGGUAGACCCUUGCCUCAGUUUUCAUGGGCACAGUAGAGUAAUGGUUAAGAACUUAGGCUCUUAGAUCUGAUAUAUGUAGUUUUGCCUUCUAGUUCUCCUUCCUGCUGGUUACGUGAGUUUGUAUCAAUUGCUUAGCUAUUCUGAGCUGCAUUUCCCCCCAUUAUAAAAUGGUGAUAAUCAUAACACUAAUUUCAAAAUUAUAUUUUUAGUAUUAGAUGCAAUACUCUAUUACCUUUUGGCAUAAAGCCUGGCACAGAGUGGGUCUUUGGUAAAUAUUGGCUAUAAUUUUAAGCUUAAAUUCAUACAAACCCAGAUUGUCACAAAAAAUGAACCAUGUGUGAUUAUUUACACUGCAAAAGAUGAUAAAAUAGUUUUCUUUUGAUAGCAGUUUUUCUAGCAUACUUGCGAUGUGCUUUGUGUGUCUGCUCUCCGUCGCUUCAGCCGUGUCUGACUCUGUGCGACCCCAUGGACUGAAACAUACAC